CUUCAUCUUUGGAAUAUUUUUCGCCUGAGAAACCUCAUCAUUUUUAUUCUUUAACUGUGGAAUUGAAUGCGCCUCCAAUAAAUCAUCUGCUGUCACUUGCUUAUUUGCUUUAACUUGUUCAGAUUUCUCAACAAAAGAAAUGUUUUUUCUACGAAGUCUAGCACUUCCAAUCCCCGAGUUAUGAAAACCAUCUUCAUCUUCUUCACCAAAUAUUCCUAGCAUGUCCCUUUCUUUUUGCUGCCCACGAAAAGAUGGACGAAGACGUCCUUCUUCCAAAAUUGAAUCACCAUCUGAAUCCUCGGAAGAUGAAUUCAUAUCGACAUACUCAUUUUGCAUAUCAACCCAAGAAUUCAAUAUAAAUAAAAACCAAUGAAAACCGAAAUUUUCUAUUUUGGGUCAGUUCUCCAGUGGGUUAAAUAUGGAUGUCAUAUAAUGAGUUUUUGCGCGUUACGUUCUUAAGCUUAAGAACACGCGAAAACGUCAUUAUUUAUUUUAUCUUGUCAGCAAUACUACACUACGCUAUGAUACACUACGUUGCGUAUCACUAUAUGUCAUAUGUUGGAAUACUAGCUAAGAUCCGUUUAUUGAUAAUCACGGGUAACUAUCCGUCUAUAUACAUAGUUACCCGUUGAUAACAACUAUUUAGAAAUAUUAUAAAUACCGUUACAACUGAACCUCGUUCCUCAGUUCAGUUAUGAGCUAUAUUAGUGAUAGGUAACAUUAUAACCCAGUUAAUACAAUACCUAUACUCAGUUGCUACUU